AAGUCGAACGGUAACAGGAAAAAGCUUGCUUUUUUGCUGACGAGUGGCGCACGGGUGCGUAACGCGUAUACAAUCUACCUUUUACAGGGGGAUAGCCUUUAGAAAUGAAGAUUAAUACCCCAUAGAAUAUAUAGAUGGCAUCAUUUAAAUAUUAAAGUUUCGGCGGUAAAAGAUGAGUAUGCGUUCUAUUAGCUAGUAGGUGUGGUAACGGCACACCUAGGCGACGAUAGAUAGGGGCCCUGAGAGGGGGAUCCCCCACACUGGUACUGAGACACGGACCAGACUCCUACGGGAGGCAGCAGUGAGGAAUAUUGGACAAUGGGCGGAAGCCUGAUCCAGCCAUGCCGCGUGCAGGAAGACUGCCCUAUGGGUUGUAAACUGCUUUUAUACGGGAAGAAACCCACCUACGUGUAGGUGGCUGACGGUACCGUAAGAAUAAGCAUCGGCUAACUCCGUGCCAGCAGCCGCGGUAAUACGGAGGAUGCAAGCGUUAUCCGGAAUCAUUGGGUUUAAAGGGUCCGUAGGUGGAUUAAUAAGUCAGAGGUGAAAGCCUGCAGCUUAACUGUAGAACUGCCUUUGAUACUGUUAAUCUUGAAUUAUUGUGAAGUAGUUAGAAUAUGUAGUGUAGCGGUGAAAUGCAUAGAUAUUACAUAGAAUACCGAUUGCGAAGGCAGAUUACUAACAAUAUAUUGACACUGAUGGACGAAAGCGUGGGGAGCGAACAGGAUUAGAUACCCUGGUAGUCCACGCCGUAAACGAUGGUCACUAGCUGUUCGGACUUCGGUCUGAGUGGCUAAGCGAAAGUGAUAAGUGACCCACCUGGGGA
rnacentral:rRNA from 1 species